rnacentral:rRNA from 1 species
GACAGAGGGUGCAAACGUUGUUCGGAAUUACUGGGCGUAAAGCGUGUGUAGGCGGCGCGCAAGUCGGGUGUGAAAGCCCCGGGCUCAACCCGGAAGUGCACUCGAUACUGCCUAGCUAGAGUCCCGGAGAGGUUGGUGGAACUCUCGGUGUAGAGGUGAAAUUCGUAGAUAUCGAGAAGAACACCGGUGGCGAAGGCGGCCAACUGGACGGUGACUGACACUGAGACGCGAAAGCGUGGGGAGCAAACAGGG